UACGGGGGGAGCAAGCGUUGUUCGGAUUUACUGGGCGUAAAGAGCGCGCAGGCGGUCGAGUAAGUCGAAUGUGAAAGCCCCCGGCUUAACUGGGGAGGGUCAUUCGAUACUGUUCGACUUGAAGGCAGGAGAGGGCAGCAGAAUUCCCGGUGUAGUGGUGAAAUGCGUAGAUAUCGGGAGGAAUACCAGUGGCGAAGGCGGCUGCCUGGCCUGUUCUUGACGCUGAGGCGCGAAAGCUGGGGGAGCAAACGGG
rnacentral:rRNA from 1 species